CAAUCCCGGCCGAGUGCCCACAUCACCAGCCCCUGACGCAGCGGCGGCAAGGAGUCAGGCGGCACGAGGACAGCCCCGGAGUGCCGAAAGUCCCCAGCCCGCUUUCCUCCGGUGAAGACGUAGCUGCGGGUGGCUGUGCUGGUGGCGGCGGCGUCCAAGAUGUCGACCAAGAAUUUCCGAGUCAGUGACGGUGACUGGAUUUGCCCUGACAAAAAAUGUGGAAAUGUAAACUUUGCCAGAAGAACCAGCUGUAAUAGAUGUGGUCGGGAGAAAACAACUGAGGCUAAGAUGAUGAAAGCAGGGGGCACUGAAAUAGGAAAGACACUUGCAGAAAAGAGCCGAGGUCUAUUUAGUGCUAAUGACUGGCAGUGUAAAACUUGCAGUAAUGUGAAUUGGGCAAGAAGAUCAGAGUGUAACAUGUGUAAUACUCCAAAGUAUGCUAAGUUAGAAGAAAGAACAGGAUAUGGUGGCGGUUUUAAUGAAAGAGAAAAUGUUGAAUAUAUAGAAAGAGAAGAAUCUGAUGGUGAAUAUGAUGAGUUUGGACGUAAAAAGAAAAAAUACAGAGGGAAGGCAGUUGGUCCAGCAUCUAUUUUAAAGGAAGUUGAAGAUAAAGAAUCUGAGGGAGAAGAAGAGGAUGAGGAUGAAGAUCUUUCUAAAUAUAAAUUGGAUGAGGAUGAGGAUGAAGAUGAUGCUGAUCUCUCAAAAUAUAAUCUUGAUGCCAGUGAAGAAGAAGAUAGUAAUAAAAAGAAAUCUAAUAGACGAAGUCGCUCAAAGUCUCGAUCUUCACAUUCACGAUCUUCAUCACGCUCAUCCUCCCCCUCAAGUUCAAGGUCUAGGUCCAGGUCCCGUUCAAGAAGUUCUUCCAGUUCGCAGUCAAGAUCUCGUUCCAGUUCCAGAGAACAUUCGAGAUCUCGUGGGUCGAAAUCAAGAUCCAGCUCCAGAUCCCACAGGGGCUCUUCUUCCCCACGAAAAAGAUCUUAUUCAAGUUCAUCAUCUUCUCCUGAGAGGAACAGAAAGAGAAGUCGUUCUAGAUCUUCAUCUGGUGAUCGCAAAAAAAGACGAACAAGAUCACGGUCACCCGAAAGGUGAUUGGUGAAAACACUAAACAACCCUGAGCCCAGGGCCAACCCCUCGGAACACCACUACUUUACCCAGGCACCACAGGUCAUCUUCUGGAUCAUCCCAUUCUGGUUCCCGUUCAAGUUCAAAAAAGAAAUAAUGUAUUAAAAUUUACAUCUUAAAAAAAAAAUCCAGUACAGUGCAUGAAGCAUAUUUUUUAAGAAGUUGGUGUCUUACUUGGUCAAAAGUGCUAAGUCUCCUAGUAGAGGUGCAUGCCUUUCAUUGCUUUUCAGAACAAUACAGCUGUGUUUAUUUGUGAAAUUAAAAGUAAAUAGUAUUUUAAGCCAUAAUAUCCCAAAAUAGAUGCUCUAUUUAUCGUUCUUUAUUUACAGUCAUUUUUUUUAAAAAACCAUCUCAUCUAUAACGAAGUACUUUGCUUCUUUUGGGUUUUUGUUUUUGUUUACUUUAUUUCCUAAUUUGAACUCUUGUUUUCCUCAUUUCCAAAUAGGAAUUGUUUAGUGACUUAUGGUUACCUUAGGCUUGCCUGAACUUUGGGCAUGGAGGCAAGACUGUGGUGAAGUAGUUGGAAACAGUCUGUUUAUGUUAAUCUGAGAAAAGGAGUCAGCCUAGGUAUGUUAACCUAUGUCAAAGUGAUUCUUCUCAGAAAAAGUUAAACUAGUUGUAAAACAGCCAACUAGAAACUUUAUUCUUAAAUUCCCUAUGCUAAGGGUGCCUUAGAAUUAUUCUGUCUUUUAUUCAGUUUUGCUUUUUGCACCACAUUUAAUGCAGAAAAAUCUUGUGAAUUGUAGAAGGAGAAUGGUGUUCCAUAUUUCUCACUCUGACACAUCAUUUGAGCAAGAAUAUCUAACAGUUCAUUUCUAAUCUGCUGAUAUGGUUGUCUGAUGAGGAAAACAUCUUAUGUUCAAAAUGUUUAUCUUACUAUUUUAAGAAGCUUUGUGUGAUGUCUUUUAAAAAUCCAUUAUCACACAUGAUAGGGUAGACAAAGCUAAAUUAUAGUUAAUAAAGAAAACUUCUGAAGUAUAGUUCUCUUUGGGUGAAAGACCAACAGAGACAUUGUUAAUUUAAGCAAACCUUUGCUGUGAGAUGUUUAACUUUAAACACUUAAUAAAAUUUUUUUGAGUAAUAAAUGAAUAUUUAUUUCUGCACAACACAAGCAGAAAUAAUUGUUCCUGUUCACUUGAAAUUACUUAUGGCUUAAAAUACUUUCAGAGUUUGUUUUAUUUCUCAAAAUUAAAAUCUGGUCACAAGCUUUAUUAUGUCUUUUGGUUUAAAAAACAAAAGGUUUCUCUUAACAGUAUCUUCAGUGACAAUGCAAGGUAAGUAUGUUAAGGAAGAUCAGCAGUUGUGCUUGAGGACUUUUUGUCAUGGGGAUCAAUACCCAUUAUUCUUGUUCUGUUUUUUGGGGGUUUUUUUGAACAGUAAUGUCUUCUGCAAUUAAAAACUAAAAUGCUUUAAGGCAUUUUGUAGACAGACCAAACAAAAUUAUAUUUGUUUCUUUAUUUUAAAAUGAGUGGUUUUUCUCUUCACUUGAUCUAAAGAUGAAAUCAAAAUAUCUUAUGUAGGAAUAUUUUGAUAAUAUUUUUACAAUGAACUUGCCCCUUGUUUUUUUUGUCUUAAUUUUCUUUCCUACAUUUACUGUAGUUUGCACAAGAACUUUUCUCUCUUGUAAUUGUGCCUCAGACUUCUUGAAAGUCCACCUCCUAAAAUGCCCAGAUGAUCUUUUAGAUUUUACAUGUUACUAUUGGUUUAUUCUUGUGCUUUCUGUAUUUAAACUUUGGCUGUACUAAAUAAAUGCAAGAUUAUAAAUUUAGCUAAUAGUUGUUUACAGACAAUUCAGAUGAUUAUGAUUUCAUUUGGUUUAACUAAACUGUAGUAGUCCAUAAGGAAAUGAUGCUGUAGACAAAUGUAAAUAAAGCUUGUGAGUCAAGCAUCAAGUGGUGUUUGUUAGAAAUAAAUUAGAAAUUUUAAA